AAGAGCAAGGAAAUACACUAACCUCCAGUUUCACAAUCCGUUUAUUGAGAUUCCACACCCCCUUUGAUCACCUGCUCAGCCUCCUCCACAAUCUUACUUAGCCUUUCGAUCUCCUCCUGGACACCAACCACCCAAAGAUGACGAUAAUGCAACCCAUCAUCCUUGUUGACAACAGAAACAUUAAUUAUAAGACUUCGAGUAACAUUAAUUAUAAGAACAUAAUUACGGAUUGAGACUUACCUCAUAGUUUAUGCAGGUGAAGAAGCACUUUCCAGGAAGAGUGUCGUAGUCUUCCUACCCCCGAACCUCGUCAAUGAUUCUCCCACCGCAAGCACACCUUCUCGGAAUCCCGUAUUGUGAAUCGGCGACGAACCCUAACAUGUUGCAGUAAUCCUUUUGCUUCUUUGAAUGUCUUCUCUCUUCUGCGGGAUCCAUCUGCACCAGAAAAGGAAAUGAUUAGAGCAUAAUAACUAAACAAUAUGAUUAAACGAACCACUAAGAGAAACAGCUAACUAAGAGAAACAUGUGACUCUAAUUCAAUUCACAUACAAACGAACCCUAAAUCAAACCAUAUUGACGAUUUAGUACCUUGUAUCGAAACACCCAAAACAAUUAACUCGAUGUCAAAUCACAUAUAAACGAACCCUAAAUCAAACCCCCAUGACGAUAACCAACCAUAAAUCGAAACCCCCAUAUCGAUUUAGACCCCUAACAAAGAAACCCCCAAAUCGAUUUCAGAUCCCAGACUCGAAACCCUAAAUCCCUAAAAACAACUCUAUUG
rnacentral:lncRNA from 1 species